GAUAAAUUUUUAAAUCAUUAUUGGCCAAAUUUGCGGUUUCUUCUGAUGUUUUUCCAGUAUAAAGAAGCACUGUGUCAUCUGCGAAAGUAUGAUACUGUCCAUUUAAACCCACUAGGCGCAAGCUUAGAACAAACAAUAUGUUAUAUUUUACGGACAUAACCAGGAGACUGUAGUAGAAUCAGAAGCAUCUCACGUUGUCGUUCAAACUCCAUCUGAAAACACAAUGCUUCCGAAUUUUGAUGUUCCAACACCUAGAGCACCUGUUGCUACGUUUAUUAAAUGCCCCAAUACUUCUAAGGGAACUUUUGUGGAAGAUAGCAAUGCUGCUACUUAUGGACCUGCAUACCAACUGCAUACCUGGACCAACAUACCUCAAAAAAAUAAUGUUCCAACAACUCUUACAUCCAUUUCUGUUGCCACGUUUGAUAGGUGCGAUAUAUCUCAGAAAACUUUUGUAGAAGAUAGUGACGACUCACUGGCCGACCCACAUUAUGAAGUUGAACUGGAUGAUUCUUUGUCAGAAGUGGAGUUAGAGGCAUCUGAAGAUGUCAGUGACGAAAAUAUUCCUGUACAUGUUGUCGCCGAUAACGAUUUUCCAGUUGAUGCUACUCAAGAAAUUGUAAGUCCAGCGAUGCAAGAAAGGCCAAAGAAGGGUAGAAAACGAAAAAUUCCCAAUCAAACUCGAAAGGAAAAAAAGAUACGUAUGUACACCAAUAAACCAUAUUUUUACUAUAAAAGUAUUCAAAUCCAACCCAAGGAAUUUGUCGAUUUUUAUUGUAACUGUACAUUAAAAUGCGCCGAAAGUGUUAACGUUGAAAUUCGGAAAUCCGAGUUU